rnacentral:rRNA from 1 species
UGCCAGCCGCCGCGGUAACACGGAGGGUGCGAGCGUUAAUCGGAAUUACUGGGCGUAAAGCGCAUGCAGGUGGUUCAUUAAGUCAGAUGUGAAAGCCCAGGGCUCAACCUUGGAACUGCAUUUGAAACUGGUUAACUAGAGUUUUGUAGAGGGUGGUAGAAUUUCAGGUGUAGCGGUGAAAUGCGUAGAGAUCUGAAGGAAUACCAGUGGCGAAGGCGGCCACCUGGACAAAGACUGACGCUGAGGCGCGAAGGCGUGGGGAGCAAACGGGAUUAGAUA